AACGUAGGGGGCGAGCGUUGUCCGGAUUUAUUGGGCGUAAAGAGCACGUAGGCGGUUUGUCAAGUCGGACGUGAAAACCCGCGGCUCAACUGCGGGAUUGCAUUCGAAACUGGCAAGCUAGAGUGCAACAGGGGGAAGUGGAAUUCCCGGUGUAGCGGUGGAAUGCGCAGAUAUCGGGAAGAACACCAGUGGCGAAGGCGGCUUCCUGGGUUGCUACUGACGCUGAGGUGCGAAAGCUAGGGGAGCAAACAGGAUUAGAUACCCCCGUAGUCC
rnacentral:rRNA from 1 species